CUGCGGUCUGUGAUGGGGAGGCUGUGGUUGCUGAUGCAUACGGCAGCAGUGAAAGUGGCUCGCUCUGAUUGGAUGAGGGAGAGUCAGGUGGGCGGGAAGUAGAUGUGAAAGAGGUGUGGAUCAGACAGAGAGGCUCUUUAUUUGGGAACCACUAGAUGGAGUCAGAGAUGAAGUGAAGACGGUGGCAGAGAGGUGGCUUGAUUCAGAUACAGUGAAUCACAGAGAUCUCUUACGUGGGCAGACGUAAGGGAACGAAGUGUGUGAGAGGGUUUUCAUGAGUGCAUGACCAUCACUGUGCAUUACUAUGUGUUAAAUAAGUAAUAAGCUCGGUUUAUAGGCUUUGUAUACUUUAUAAACCCACUCCAUUUAUUUAUGUAUACAUGCAAAAACAGGAGUUACUGUAUAUUGUGUGCUUGUAUGGCUCAAAUGUGUAUGCAAAUAAUGAAAAUAUUUGCAUACACAAAGUACUGUACGUGUUUGUGUGUG